UACGAAGGGUGCAAGCGUUAAUCGGAAUUACUGGGCGUAAAGCGCGCGUAGGUGGUUCGUUAAGUUGGAUGUGAAAGCCCCGGGCUCAACCUGGGAACUGCAUCCAAAACUGGCGAGCUAGAGUACGGUAGAGGGUGGUGGAAUUUCCUGUGUAGCGGUGAAAUGCGUAGAUAUAGGAAGGAACACCAGUGGCGAAGGCGACUACCUGGACCAGCACUGACACUGAGGCACGAAAGCGUGGGGAGCAAACAGG
rnacentral:rRNA from 1 species